CCGUGCAACAAAACUAUGACAACAGUGGAAAGGAACUGGAAAGGAUUUGGGAGGGGGUUGGUGGAGGUGGAGGAGCCUCAACGUAAACUGCCAGGUGCAGAGACUCACAGAACUCUGUCCAUGGGGUCUGGGAGACAAGCAGAGACUAGCAGAGCCGGGCGCCAAACGGCGACAUCGUCUUCCCAAAGUUCCUUCCUAUGUCGCUUUCCCCACCCAGCUUCUAAGCAUCUGGAGCUGGCAUCCUGGAGAAGGUCCACACCUGUUAGGCGACUUCAAGCUCCCUGCAGUCUUCUGCCCCCGCCGUUUUGUGGCAGAGACAGGGCGGAUGAGUGUGGGGGGGGCGGGGGGUACUCUUGGCCUGGCAUCCCUGCAGUCAGCUGGCUCAACCUUCGAGGAGGCCCGGGCUGAACCUCGCGUCACCCCGCUGCAACGCGCGCCGCCAAGCGCUCCAGCGAGAGAAAGGCCUUUUUUGGUAACAGCCCCGCGGUAAGCGGGACCCACUUCUCUGGCCUGCGAGAUCCGCCUCGGAGAAGAUGAAAACAAACGUCUGGGUUGGGCCCUCCUCUGGCCUUUCCAUGGCCCCUGAUCGCCGCGCGUCAGGAACCCCAGAGGCGCAGUUUGAGCCCUGGGCCUGUAGAGACGCGCAAAGGGGCUGUGGAGGGUGGGGGAAGGGAGAUAGCAAGAUGAUUUACGCUUUUACUCCCAGGCCCAUUCCGUGGCGGAAGUAUUUGCCUUUCCCUAAAGGAGUAAUCCCGAUAUUUGGGGAAAAAGAAGUAUUAACUUAGGCCAGGGCGUAGGGUUACGCAAGAGCCACUCGAGCAUGAAAUCCCAGGAACAACGUGAUUCGCUGAGAAGCCCCGGGGGAGGGGAGCCUGCACCGCCUGCCAGGACCUGCCCAGCCUGGGGCGCGCGGGCAGUCGGGCUCUCAGUGCAAAAUCGGGUGGAAGGAAAAGGAGGGCGGGCGUAGUGGUUGGUGCAGGCACAGUGGCCACAGCGAGGGAUGGAUCUCUGACUGAUUUCUUCCUGGAGGGGCGGGGAACAGGGAGGGGAAGAAAGGCGCGGGGAGUCGCGUCUGGUUCCUGCCUCCUCCCCGCUUCCUCUCUUUGCCCGUGUGCCAGGAUGGGAGAGCCCAGCGCUGUCCUCAGCAAAAGCUGGUGUGGUUUUUUUAGGUCCAAAAAUAAAGGAACCCAGGAAUGAGCCGCCCAGGGACCAGGCCUAGAGGAAAAAAAGAGGGAAGAGCCAGACAAGGGUGCUAUUCACUGACCUGGUUGGGUUAAAACAAAUACCCACACCCCAAAAAGGGGAGUUGGAGAGGAAGGAAGCCUUGGACGGCAAGAGUAGGCAGAAAGCUGGCGGGGCGGCUGACCAGGCCACAGGUGCGCAAACCCCGGGACCCUCCACCCCGCCGGGCGCGCGCCUGGGCCUCAGCAGGGAGUAGGAGUGCCAGCCAGUUCCCACUGGCCCGCACCGACCUGGGGAUUUCCAUCGCCGGCUACGGAGACCCGUUGCCGCCGGCGCUUUCCUGCUGGGGCCACCAGAAGGCGGGGCCUCAGAGCGGGAAGCCCCUCCCUGCAGCCUCGCCAUCCCUCAGUCAGGUCUGGUACACGGGGCAGCUGUCACUGCUGUGCCUGGUUGGGAUGGAUGGGCCAGGACCCUUAAAUAUUUUGGCUUGCGUGAGCUGGGUAUUUCAACCC
rnacentral:lncRNA from 1 species